AUAGCAAAGGAAAGUAGACCCUGUUGAGCUUGACUCUA
rnacentral:rRNA from 14 species